rnacentral:rRNA from 1 species
GACGAACGCUGGCGGCGUGCCUAAUACAUGCAAGUAGAACGCUGAAGGAGGAGCUUGCUUCCCUGGAUGAGUUGCGAACGGGUGAGUAACGCGUAGGUAACCUGCCUGGUAGCGGGGGAUAACUCUUGGAAACGAUAGCUAAUACCGCAUAAUAUUUACUAUUGCAUGAUAGUCAGUUGAAAGGUGCAACUGCACCACUACCAGAUGGUCCUGCGUUGUCUUAGCUAGUUGGUGGGGUAACGGCUCACCAAGGCGACGAUACAUAGCCGACCUGAGAAGGUGAUCGGCCAACCUGGGAAUGGGACACGGCCCAGACUCCUACGGGAGGGAGCAGGAGGGAAUCUUCGGCAAUGGACGGAAGGCUGAACGGGGCACGCCGCGGGAGGGAAGAAGGGUUUCGGAUCGUAAAGCUCUGGUGUAAGGGAAGAACGAGUGUGGGAGGGGAAAGCGCACACUGUGACGGUAUCUUACCAGAAAGGGACGGCUAACUACGUG